GGAAAAUCCAUGCGGGCGACCCGACUGGCCAGUUCCGGGCAGAGCCCAGGGCCUCUGUGCCGAGAGGCAAGCAUUAAGGAUCAUCUGUGCACUUCGUGCCCACCCUUGAGCUCUGCCCCACUGCUCUGCAUCUUGGAAAACCAGUUUGUCACCUUCAGCCCUACUAACAUUUGGGGCCAGAAUUGAUUGGAGAGACUUCGGGCAGGAUCACCGUGACCGAGGCUGGGAUGGACGAAGUGGGGUGUGGGGACACCUGCUGCAGUUGCUGUUCCUUCAUCCUGCCCCUGCCCCUGUCCUGGGAGCUGUUGGCCAUUGCGUCCCCUCCCGCCAGGAACAGUGGUGCGGGGCCCGGGGCCCUUCUCAAGCUGCUGUCCUCCCCGCCCUCCUGACUCCGGGCCUGUAGCUCCUGCCUGAGGCUUCUCUCCCCCUUUCCCUCCUGGAUUGCUAGCAUGCCUGUUCCUGGGCCUUUCCUGAUGUCUCCUCCUGGCGCUGCCCUGUGCCCACCCCACUCUGAUGGUCUGCACCUCCCCUGUCCGUGUGGGCGGCUCGCCCGUCCCUGCUCCUUCCCCGCCCGUCCCUGCUCCUUCCCCGCAGCCAUCGGGCCCCCAGGAGGGCUGGCCAGGCUGCUCUGUUUUCAGCCAACACUGGAGGAACCUGUUCUGGCAGGUCAGCGGAGGAGGUUGGGGUGGGCAGGGGCGGACCAGGGGAUCUUGCUCUGGAGCCUCUGGUUCCCCUCCCCGCACCAGGCCUCAGUGAUCAUGGUUUGCACCCCGGCCCCUUUGCGCACAGGGUCCCCACUGCCCAGGUGAGCCACCUGUGGGCGCCUGAAGACCCAGCCGGAAUGUGUCCUUCGGGACAUUUUCGACUCUUGACUCCUGUGUUCUCACUUGGAUCCCCACUGCCCCGGCUGCGCUUGUCUGUCUGCUUGUCUGUCUCUCCCCCGUGAACAGAAUGUUCCUGCAGGCCGGUGCCCGCCUGAGGCUCUUCUGCUCUGUGACGGGGCCUGGCCCCGGGGGGACGCGGAGUCCCUGAUGGAGUAGAUGCAGGAUGGCCCGCGUGCUGGAGGAGGCGUGACCUGUGGCCCCUUAGGGGCACAGCCCCCACCUGCACUGUUCCCUCCUCUGGGACAUGGAAACGUCUGACGAGUGGUCUUUUAGCUCCAGGUGUCCCCCUUAAAGAGACUGGCAUCCCGCUGGUAGAGCGAUUCCUUGACUUUGAGAGGGCGGAAGCUUUUUCAGGAUUUGGGGAAUUGGGAGGCAAGGCAGUCAGAUGGAAUCAGUGGUAAAGCGAGCCGGAGGCGGCUUGGCUGGACCUCCGUCCUCGCCGCUGGCUCUCCCUGGUGGUUUCUGCGCUAGCACAUGGAAUCGCACGUCUGGAGUCCCCCCUGUGGUUCGGGCCUGGUGGGGGCGUGGGAUGCAGGGAUGGGGGCAUCCUGGAGCCCAUCCCUGGGUAGGGGACGCGUCGUGGUGGUUGAGCGAGUGGCGCUAAUCCAAGGGGCCCUUGAGUGAGGUAGGGGUUGGGAGCCAGUCCCGGUGGGGGGAGCACUUGGGCUCUUUCAGCACCCAGGCCAGGCCGGCCUGGAAUUUGCACAUGGGAGCCCAGCAGGCAGGUGGAGAAGGGGCUGGUGCACCUGACCAGCUGGCCCGGGACGCCAUGGCACCGUGCCUGCGUGCCCCGGGUGGCUCAGGUGCUAGGCAGGUGGUUGGAGGACAGAGUCUCUUGGGACUUUCAGGUUUGAGCAGGCAAGUCAGGCAUGAACCUGGAGAGGUGUGUGGGGAGAGCGAGCAGAGUCGGGGAUGGGGGGGCCUGUGCCCCAUUUCAGUUAAGGCGACUGUCCGUUGUAGGAAGGUCAGGAACACCGAGCAGGCUUGGAACCCAGAGGCUAUGUAGGGUGGUGGUGUGCAGAGGUGGACAGUGAGGGCCCUCUGAGCCAGAUAGGGGACUAGAUUCUGAUGUCCCGAGUGGACCACAUGCCUCCGUUAGAGUCCAGCUCUGACGUGAUGCUGUGCUGACCUCUCAAAUCCUUCCCCUCCCAGGUGCUGGCAGGACCUUCAUCCCUUCCAGC